UACGUAGGUGGCAAGCGAUACUCGGAAUCACUAGGCGUAAAGCGCAGGUAGGCGGUUUGGUAAGUCUUUUGUGAAAGCUCCCGGCUUAACUGGGAGAGGUCAAGGGAAACUACCAAGCUAGAGUGUGGCAGAGGAAACUGGAAUUCCCGGUGUAGCGGUGAAAUGCGUAGAUAUUGGGAGGAACACCUAUGGCGAAAGCAGGUUUCUGGGCCAUCACUGACGCUGAGCUGCGAAAGCUAGGGGAGCAAACAGG
rnacentral:rRNA from 1 species